rnacentral:rRNA from 1 species
ACGCUGGCGGCGUGCUUAACACAUGCAAGUCGAACGAAGCCCUCGUGGCUUAGUGGCGGACGGGUGAGUAACGCGUGAGAAUCUACCUUCGAGAUGGGGACACCGUUGGAAACGACGGCUAAUCCCCAAUAAGCCGAAAGGUGAAAGGGUUUCCGCUCGCAGAGGAGCUCGCGUCCGAUUAGUUAGUUGGUGGGGUAAGAGCCUACCAAGGCAGCGAUCGGUAGCUGGUCUGAGAGGAUGAGCAGCCACACUGGGACUGAGACACGGCCCAGACUCCUACGGGAGGCAGCAGUGGGGAAUUUUCCGCAAUGGGCGCAAGCCUGACGGAGCAACGCCGCGUGUGGGAAGAAGGCUCUUGGGCUGUCAACCACUUUUCUCAGGGAAGAAGUCCUGACGGUACCUGAGGAAUCAGCCUCGGCUAACUCCGUGCCAGCAGCCGCGGUAAUACGGAGGAGGCAAGCGUUAUCCGGAAUUAUUGGGCGUAAAGCGUCCGCAGGGGGCACUUCAAGUCUGCUGUCAAAGGUCGGAGCUUAACUCCGGUUCGGCAGUGGAAACUGGAGUGCUAGAGGGCGACAGGGGUAGAGGGAAUUCCCAGUGUACCGGUGAAAUGCGUAGAGAUUGGGAAGAACACCGGUGGCGAAAGCGCUCUACUGGGUCGCACCUGACCCUCAGGGACGAAAGCUAAGGUAGCGAAAGGGAUUAGAUACCCCUGUAGUCUUAGCCGUAAACGAUGGAUACUAGGCGUGGUUUGUAUCGACCCAAGCCGUGCCGAAGCUAACGCGUUACGUAUCCCGNCUGGGGAGUACGCACACUAGGUGUGAAACUC